rnacentral:rRNA from 1 species
AUUGAACGCUGGCGGCAGGCCUAACACAUGCAAGUCGAACGAGUGGCGGACGGGUGAGUAAUGUCUGGGAAACUGCCUGAUGGAGGGGGAUAACUACUGGAAACGGUAGCUAAUACCGCAUACCAUCGGAUGUGCCCAGAUGGGAUUAGCUAGGAGGUGGGGUAAAGGAUCACCUAGGCGAAGAUCCCUAUCUGGUCUGAGAGGAUGACCGGCCACACUGGAACUGAGACACGGUCCAGCCUCCUACGGGAGGCAGCAGUGGGGAAUAUUGCACAAUGGGCGCAAGCCUGAUUCAGCCAUGCCGCGUGUAUGAAGAAGGCCUUCGGGUUGUAAAGUACUUUCAGCGGGGAGGCGUUACCCGCAGAAGAAGCACCGGCUAACUCCGUGCCAGCCGCCGCGGUAAUAC